GUGGGGAAUAUUGGACAAUGGGCGCAAGCCUGAUCCAGCCAUGCCGCGUGAGUGAUGAAGGCCUUAGGGUUGUAAAGCUCUUUCAGUGGGGACGAUAAUGACGGUACCCACAGAAGAAGCCCCGGCUAACUUCGUGCCAGCAGCCGCGGUAAUACGAAGGGGGCUAGCGUUGUUCGGAUUUACUGGGCGUAAAGCGCACGUAGGCGGAUCGUUAAGUCGGGGGUGAAAUCCUGGAGCUCAACUCCAGAACUGCCUUCGAUACUGGCGAUCUUGAGUCCGGAAGAGGUGAGUGGAACUCCUGGUGUAGAGGUGGAAUUCGUAGAUAUUAGGAAGAACACCAGUGGCGAAGGCGGCUCACUGGUCCGGUACUGACGCUGAGGUGCGAAAGCGUGGGGAGCAAACAGGAUUAGAAACCCGGGUAGUCC
rnacentral:rRNA from 1 species